rnacentral:rRNA from 1 species
CCUACGGGUGGCUGCAGUGAGGAAUAUUGGUCAAUGGCCGGAAGGCUGAACCAGCCAUGCCGCGUGAAGGUCAGUGCCCUAUGGGCGUUAAACUUCUUUUGUGCGGGAGCAAUAAUGGUCACGUGUGGCCAGACGAGAGUACCGUACGAAUAAGCAUCGGCUAACUCCGGGCCAGCAGCCGCGGUAAUACGGGGGAUGCAAGCGUAACCGGGUUUUUUGGGUUUUAAGGGGGCGUAGGCUGGGAGGUAAGUCAGCGGUGAAAUGCCCCCGCUCAACGGGGUGAAGUGCCAUUGAUACUGGCUUGCUGGAAUGCGGAUGCCGUAGGAGGAAUGUGUGGUGUAGCGGUGAAAUGCAUAGAUAUCACACAGAACACCGAUUGCGAAGGCAUCUCACGAAUCCGCGAUUGACGCUGAUGCACGAAAGCGUGGGUAUCAAACAGGAUUAGAUACCCCUGUAGUC